rnacentral:rRNA from 1 species
CAGCAGCCGCGGGAAUACGAAGGGUGCAAGCGUUAAUCGGAAUUACUGGGCGUAAAGCGUGCGUAGGCGGUUUGUUAAGUCUGUUGUGAAAUCCCCGGGCUCAACCUGGGAAUGGCAGUGGAUACUGGCUCGCUAGAGUGUGUCAGAGGAUGGUGGAAUUCCCGGUGUAGCGGUGAAAUGCGUAGAGAUCGGGAGGAACAUCAGUGGCGAAGGCGGCCAUCUGGGACAACACUGACGCUGAGGCACGAAAGCGUGGGGAGCAAACGGGAUUAGAUACCCCCGUAGUCCCUGUCUCUUAUAC